UACGGAGGGGGCUAGCGUUGUUCGGAAUUACUGGGCGUAAAGCGCACGUAGGCGGCUUUGUAAGUUAGAGGUGAAAGCCCGGGGCUCAACUCCGGAAUUGCCUUUAAGACUGCAUCGCUAGAAUUGUGGAGAGGUAAGUGGAAUUCCGAGUGUAGAGGUGAAAUUCGUAGAUAUUCGGAAAAACACCAGUGGCGAAGGCGACUUACUGGACACAUAUUGACGCUGAGGUGCGAAAGCGUGGGGAGCAAACAGG
rnacentral:rRNA from 1 species